rfam:Ophiophagus hannah scaffold1852.1, whole genome shotgun sequence.
CUAACGGCCCUUUUAAGGGCCACCCACAAUUCCUGAAAAAGAGUUG